rnacentral:lncRNA from 1 species
UUGGAAGAGGCAGGUAGUGGGGAGUGUGUGGCAGUCCGGUGGUGCCCGCCACAAGGGCCCAGAACGAGAUCCCUCUGCCUCCUUGCAGCCUUGGUGUGAGGAUGACCUUUUCACAGCCUUCUCAUCCUGAAACCAAAGCCCCUCCAUGGCCUCAGCUGCCCAUAUCAGCUGUAUGGAGGUGGGGGAGGGGCAGUCCACACAGAGCUGCGGCCCCCUUUGCAAGCCUGCUUGCUGCCCAUGUACUCUGAAGACACUAUACAUCAAGGCAAGGAUGAACCAGAAACUCUGCAUGCGAAUUCAUGCCCAAGUUACAGUCACCAGCAGAAGCUCAGGACUCCCAAAUUGCCUGCCAUCACCAGGAUUCCUCCCUUCCCCAUAGGUCUGCACAAUCCCCAAUGGGACUCCAUCUUCCAUCCUUCUCCAGCACCCUAAACUCCCCACAAGCCCUCAAGACUCAAGGCUGCACAUCGAAAAAAUGUGCUGUAUCAACCAACUCUUCUCACAAAGCCACCUCCACCUUCUUGUCCUAAGUGAAACCUGAGUUCCGCGUAGUCCUCUCAUGGUCUGGCCAUUUUCUUCUUGCCCAUGCCUUUGUACUCAUUGGGCCAAGGAAUGGGCUAGGCAUCCAUUACACCAACCACUGCUUCUCUUCAUUGCAAAUCCCCAGGCACCGUGUGUCUCAAGAUUGUGGCUAAGAGCCAUAGCCCUGGAGGAUGUACAGAAGCAUUGCUGUGGCUUAUGACCCAUGGCCACUGUUGGGUCAGGAAGGACAUUGCUUUAAGAGCAGGCCCUACACCUAUGCCAUUUGGCUGGUUGAAUAGAUGAGGGAAAAAUCUGAAAAGGGUAGAUAGCAACACCAAGGCCAGAAGUCUCCUGGGUAUUGUGCUGAUUGGACCACGUACAAGUUCCUCCCUCAUCCUGGCUUCUGUGUGAAGACAUGGAGCAAAAGACUCAGUUGAGUGAAUAUGCUCAAGCAGAGUAUUUCUCAUGGCUUCUGAAACUGAGAUCUGAGAGGUACAAGCACUGCUGUACCAUCUCCUUCCUGAGCAUGAGAUUCUCCCAAAUAAGGAGGAUCUAGGCAGCAAAAUGUCCUCAAUAAACAGAAAGAAAACUCUGUGAUGGUGUCACCUGCGGCAGCAGCCGUGGAACAGGGUCACUUACAUUUUGGAAACUCCCUCUACUCUACCCUUCUGACUCGCUGCUCUUCACAGCCUUCUCAAAUAGCUCAGACUCUAGAUCUACCUUGGUAGGAAUUUCCACCUGGCUGGCACCUUGUGGGAGUCUGCUUAAAUAAUUCAGAUUAAUGUGAGCUUUUCAGAGCUGAGGAUGGAGUAUCGACAAACAUAUAGGGCACCAG